rnacentral:rRNA from 1 species
UACGAACGCUAGCGGCAUGCCUAACACAUGCAAGUCGAACGAGACCUUCGGGUCUAGUGGCGCACGGGUGCGUAACGCGUGGGAACCUGCCUUUAGGUUCGGAAUAACUUCCCGAAAGGGAUGCUAAUACCGGAUAAUGUCUUCGGACCAAAGAUUUAUCGCCUUUAGAUGGGCCCGCGUAAGAUUAGGUAGUUGGUGGGGUAAAGGCCUACCAAGCCGACGAUCUUUAGCUGGUCUGAGAGGAUGAUCAGCCACACUGGGACUGAGACACGGCCCAGACUCCUACGGGAGGCAGCAGUGGGGAAUAUUGGACAAUGGGCGAAAGCCUGAUCCAGCAAUGCCGCGUGAGUGAUGAAGGCCUUAGGGUUGUAAAGCUCUUUUACCAGGGAUGAUAAUGACAGUACCUGGAGAAUAAGCUCCGGCUAACUCCGUGCCAGCCGCCGCAGUAACAC